GCGCACAAAAAUAGUGCACUGCCCCUUUUUUUAGUGCAUUAUUUUCAGAUCUUCAUCUCCCCACCAUCGCCCCCUCCCCUCACCUUCUCUCUAAAAAUUUCAAGUUCGAUGGUCUCCCCACCCCCUAAUAAUCACAUAUUUUUUCAAGAAAAAGACGUAUUGGGGGUGUAUUUAUCAUGUAGGUGACGAUUGUAUUGUCUCAAAAAACGUCAAUUUAGGAAAAUAACUACGGACAGUCAUAUGUAUGAUACUGCAAUGACUGUGGCAGCAACUAAUGUUGUCACAACGAAUCGUAUGAGUGCUCCGCAGGCAAUGGCACCAGCGGAAAAAUCCAAAAAAUUCAUGGGUGUUGAUUUCAAAAGGUGGCAACAGAAUAUGUUCUUCUACCUUACAACUUUAUGUCUUCAACAAUUUACAUCUGAAGAAGCUCCAGAAGUGCCCGAAGGAACUUCGGCCCAGGAGAAAUUUGUCGUUAUGGAGGCGUGGAAACACUCAAAUUUCCUAUGCAGGAAUUAUAUUCUAAAUGGCCUCCAAGAUGAACUAUACAACGUGUAUAGUUGAAUGAAGACAACAAAAGAGUUGUGGGGGCACUGAAAAGAAAAUACAAGACUGAGGAUGCGGGAAUCAAAAAGUUCUUCGUUGUAAGAUUCCUAGAGUUUAAAAUGAUUGACAGCAAAUCUGUUGUAUCUCAAGUCCAGGAACUGCAAGUAUGGUUGUGAAUGAGGAGUUUAAAGUCGCGGCAAUAAUAGAGAAUUUACAACCUAUGUGGAAGGACUUCAAGAACUACUUGAAACAUAAGCGAAAGGAGAUGACAGUCAAAGAUCUUAUAGUAAGACUGUGCAUUGAAAAAGACAAUAAAGCCACGAAAAAAGAUCGAAAGAAAAUUCUGCAAUAAGUGGAGAAAAUAUUGUAGAAGACGACCACAACAACUUCAAAAAAUAGAAGAAAGCUGGACAGGAAAGCAAUCAACAAAAGAAUAAAUUCAAGAGAAAAUGCGUUAACUGUGGCAAAAUUGGCCACAAGUUAACAGAUUGUCGUGCCCCAAAGAAAGGGAAAAAGAAGUACCAAGCAAAUGUGGCUAAAUCCAAAAAAAAAAUAGACGAUCUCUGUGUCAUGUUGUCUGAAUGCAACUUGAUGGAAAAUCCUCGAGAAUGGUGGAUGGAUUUCGUGCCACCGGCCACAUUUGUGCAAAUAAGGAGUUAUUUUCUAUUUUUGCUCCGGCUCAAGACGAAGAGAAGAUAUAUAUGGCUAACUCCGCAACUGCAAAAGUUGAAAGAACGGAAAAAUUCUGCCUGAAAAUGACACCAGGCAAAGAGUUAACUUUGAACAAUGUCCUGUAUGU